CCCCACCUAACUAAUGCAAUGAAACCGGUAACAACCGUAUCCACAAAAAAUAUAUACACACAAAAAUAAUAAAUAUUAGAAUAAUGCAUGGGGGCAAAGACAUUUCGCCGAAGACUACGAAAUGAUCCAAAACUUAAAGACCCUUAAGAGACUACUAAGUCGUCGUCGAUAGCUUCAACCUUUCUUCUCUUAUCUCUCCAAUAUUUUAUUCUUAUUCUCUACCAUAUAUCCUCACCUCUCUAUUCUAUAUAAAUGCAUAAACUUGAGUCACACUGAUAAGUAAAUUAAGAAGGAAUAUUAGUUAAAUCUUCUGUAGUCUCUUCCAUGUUUCUCUUUCUCCUUCUUCUUCUUGUAUUUCCACAUAUAGAUAAUGUCCUUGGCGCACGAAUGGAACUCCAGGAGAUAAACCAUGCGGAUCCAGUGACGGUC